UCCUGCUACGUGGUUCUCCAAUUCUGACGUGCAGAUGUGUCUACAGUAACUCAUCAUCAACAUUCAGUAAUACUUACCGUUUAAAGUCAAAAAGAGAAUCAUAGAAGAGACCUAAAGACAUCAGUAAGAACAUAAUGAACUUCAAUGGAAAUGGUAAUAAAAAUUAAUGCUGGGAUGCAUACAUUGAAAAAAAAUAAAGAACAGGGCACAGUGAAAAUGAAUAA